GAUGAAGAACGCAGCGAAAUGCGAUAAGUAAUGCGAAUUGCAGAAUUUCCGUGAGUCAUCGAAUCUUUGAACGCACAUUGCGCCCACUGGUAUUCCGGCGGGCAUGCCUGUUCGAGCGUCAUUAUCCUCCCUCAAACCCCGGGUUUGGUGUUGGACCCAAGUUGUGUGAACAACUGGUCUCAAAGACAAUGACGGCGUCCGUGGGACCCUCGGUGCAACGAGCUUUUAGGAGCACGCAUCGAGUUGCAAGGACCUUCCGGGCCGGUCUCCUUUACCAUUUUACAAGGUUGACCUCGGAUCAGGUAGGAAUACCCGCUGAACUUAAGCAUAUCAAUAAGCGGAGGA
rnacentral:misc_RNA from 1 species